rnacentral:rRNA from 1 species
AACGAACGCUGGCGGCAUGCCUAACACAUGCAAGUCGAACGAGACCUUCGGGUCUAGUUGCGCACGUGUGCGUAACGCGUGGGAACCUGCCCUUAGGUUCGGAAUAACUCCCCGAAAGGGGUGCUCAUACCGGUUAAUGUCUUCGGACCAAAGAUUUAUCUCCUUUGACUGGGCUCGCGUUGGAUUAGCUAGUUGGUAGGGUAAAAGCCUACAAAGGCCAUGAUCCUUAGCUGGUCUGUGAGGAUGAUCAGCCACACUGGGACUGAGACACGGCCCAGACUCCUACGGGAGGCAGCAGUGGGGAAUAUUGGACAAUGGGGGAAAGCCUGAUCCAGCAAUGCCGCGUGAGUGAUGAAGGCCUUAGGGUUGUAAAGCUCUUUUACCCGGGAUGAUAAUGACAGUACCGGGAGAAUAAGCCCCGGCUAACUCCGUG